rnacentral:rRNA from 1 species
UGAACUAGCUAACUGAAUUCAUAAAUGUGUCAUUUAUGAUAAGGUAAGAGAAAAUAAUGAUAUUAUUUUACUAAAUUAGUGUCGUCUAAAUCUGGUGCCAGAAGACUCGGUAAGGCCAGAGACGCGAACGUUAGUCGUCAUAAUCAGGCGUAAAGGGUUUGUAGGCUGCUUUAAACAUUAAAAAUAAGCUAAAUUAAUUUAUAAUAAAUUAAAGCUAGAAUCUAAUAGAGGAUAAUCAGAACAAUACUAUAUCUAGUGCUAAAAUACGAAUAAAUAUGGUAGAGUACUAAAGGUGAAAACUAUUUAUCCAUUAAAGAUUGACGCUGAGAAACGAAGGAGAGGAUCGAAACAAGGAUUAGAUACCCUAUUAUCCCUCUCAGUCAACGAUGAAUGGUAGUUAUUAGUUUAUCUAAUUAUUUAAAUAUUAAAAAUAAUUAUUGAAUUAUAAAUUAGUAACGAUGUUAACACGAUAACCAUUCCGCCUUGUGAGUAAGACUGCAAAGUUGAAAAACAAAAAAAUUAGUCGGUGCUUGAAGCA